ensembl:snoRNA
UGGAUCGAUGAUGACCACUGGUGGCGUAUGAGUCCUAUACGAUGAAAAUGUGGAACUCUGAGGUCCAA